rnacentral:rRNA from 1 species
UACGUAGGCAGCGAGCGUUGUUCGGAAUUACUGGGCGUAAAGAGUGUGUAGGCGGUGUUCCCAGUCUGUUGUGAAAUCUCCCGGCUUAACUGGGAGGGUGCAGCGGAAACUAGAAUGCUAGAGGGUGGGAGAGGUAAGCGGAAUUCCUGGUGUAGCAGUGAAAUGCGUAGAUAUCAGGAGGAACACCGAUGGCGAAGGCAGGUCUCUGGGCUGACACUGACGCUCAUGCACGAAAGCGUGGGGAGCAAACAGG